GGGGUUGUGGCUCAGAGGUAGAGCGCUUGCCUACCAUGCAUGAGACACUGGUUUGAUCCUCAGUACCA
rnacentral:tRNA from 1 species